rnacentral:rRNA from 1 species
GACGAACGCUGGCGGCGUGCCUAAUACAUGCAAGUCGAACGCAGAGGGGACGGGUGAGUAAUACGUGGGUAACCUCCCAUCAGAGGGGAUAACAUUUGGAAACAGGUGCUAAACCGAUACGGAUGGCUGGACCCUCGUGGCAUUAGCUAGUUGGUGAGGUAACGGCUCACCAAGGCGACGAUGCAUAGCCGGCCUGAGAGGGUGAUCGGCCACACUGGGACUGAGACACGGCCCAGACUCCUACGGGAGGCAGCAGUAGGGAAUCUUCGGCAAUGGGCGAAAGUCUGACCGAGCAACGCCGCGUGAGUGAAGAAGGUUUUCGGAUCGUAAAACUCUGUUGUUAGAGAAGCGGUAUCUAACCAGAAAGCCACGGCUAACUACGUGCCAGCAGCCGCGGUAAUUC